rnacentral:rRNA from 1 species
AUACGUAGGGUGCGAGCGUUGUCCGGAAUUACUGGGCGUAAAGAGCUCGUAGGUGGUUUGUCGCGUCGUCUGUGAAAUUCCGGGGCUUAACUCCGGGCGUGCAGGCGAUACGGGCAUAACUUGAGUACUGUAGGGGAGACUGGAAUUCCUGGUGUAGCGGUGAAAUGGGCAGAUAUCAGGAGGAACACCGGUGGCGAAGGCGGGUCUCUGGGCAGUAACUGCCGCUGAGGAGCGAAAGCAUGGGUAGCGAACAGGAUUAGAUACCCUGGUAGUCCAUGCCGUAAACGGUGGGCGCUAGGUGUAGGGGUCUUCCACGACUUCUGUGCCGUAGCUAACGCAUUAAGCGCCCCGCCUGGGGAGUAUGGCCGCAAGGCUAAAACUCAAAGGAAUUGACGGGG